CGCACAUUGCACCUACCAGUAUUCUGGUAGGUAUGCCUGUUCGAGCGUCAUUUCAACCCUCAAGCUUUGCUUGGUGUUGGGGUCCUACGCCUCGCGCGUAGGCCCUUAAGACUAGUGGCGGACCUUUUGUGAUCCCGAGCGUAGUAAUUCUUACCGCUUUGGAGAGCUGGAGGGACCUAGCCGUUAAACCCCAAAUUCUCAAGGUUGACCUCGGAUCAGGUAGGAAUACCCGCUGAACUUAA
rnacentral:misc_RNA from 1 species